rnacentral:siRNA from 1 species
UCUACCAAGGCCCUUUGGAA